rnacentral:rRNA from 1 species
GACGAACGCUGGCGGCGUGCCUAAUACAUGCAAGUAGAACGCUGAAGGAGGAGCUUGCUUCUCUGGAUGAGUUGCGAACGGGUGAGUAACGCGUAGGUAACCUGCCUGGUAGCGGGGGAUAACUAUUGGAAACGAUAGCUAAUACCGCAUAAGAGUAGAUGUUGCAUGACAUUUGCUUAAAAGGUGCAAUUGCAUCACUACCAGAUGGACCUGCGUUGUAUUAGCUAGUUGGUGAGGUAACGGCUCACCAAGGCGACGAUACAUAGCCGACCUGAGAGGGUGAUCGGCCACACUGGGACUGAGACACGGCCCAGACUCCUACGGGAGGCAGCAGUAGGGAAUCUUCGGCAAUGGACGGAAGUCUGUCCGAGCAACGCCGCGUGAGUGAAGAAGGUUUUCGGAUCGUAAAGCUCUGUUGUAAGAGAAGAACGAGUGUGAGAGUGGAAAGUUCACACUGUGACGGUAUCUUACCAGAAAGGGACGGCUAACUACGUG